rnacentral:rRNA from 1 species
UACGGAGGGGGCCAGCGUUGUUCGGAAUCAUUGGGCGUAAAGGGCGCGUAGGCGGCCUGGUAAGUCGGGCGUGAAAUCCCGCGGCUCAACCGCGGAAUUGCGCUCGAAACUGCUUGGCUCGAGUCCCGGAGAGGGUAGCGGAAUUCCCAGUGUAGCGGUGAAAUGCGUAGAUAUUGGGAGGAACACCAGUGGCGAAGGCGGCUACCUGGACGGGAACUGACGUUGAGGCGCGAAAGCGUGGGGAGCAAACAGG